UACGAAGGGGGCUAGCGUUGCUCGGAAUUACUGGGCGUAAAGGGCGCGUAGGCGGGUGUUUAAGUCAGAGGUCAAAUCCCGGGGCUCAACCUCGGAACUGCCUUUGAUACUGGACAGCCUAGAGUAUGGGAGAGGUGAGUGGAACUCCGAGUGUAGAGGUGAAAUUCGUAGAUAUUCGGAAGAACACCAGUGGCGAAGGCGACUCACUGGCCCAUUACGUGACGCUGAUGCGCGAAAAGC
rnacentral:rRNA from 1 species